CCAGUAGUCAUAUGCUUGUCUCAAAGAUUAAGCCAUGCAUGUCUAAGUUCACACCCUCGUACGGUGAAACCGCGAAUGGCUCAUUAAAUCAGUCGAGGUUCCUUAGAUGAUCCAUUUCUACUUGGAUAACUGUGGCAAUUCUAGAGCUAAUACAUGCAAACCAGCUCCGACCCGGUGUCACAGCCGGGAAAGAGCGCUUUUAUUAGUUCAAAACCAGUCGGGGUUUCGGCCCCGUCCCUUUUGGUGACUCUGGAUAACUUUGUGCCGAUCGCAUGGCCUCGAGCCGGCGACGCAUCUUUCAAAUGUCUGCCCUAUCAAAUGUCGAUGGUACGUGAUAGGCCUACCAUGUUGACUACGGGUAACGGGGAAUCAGGGUUCGAUUCCGGAGAGGGAGCAUGAGAAAGGGCUACCACAUCCAAGGAAGGCAGAGGCGCGCA
rnacentral:rRNA from 1 species